rnacentral:rRNA from 1 species
ACGGGAGGCAGCAGUGGGGAAUAUUGCACAAUGGGCGCAAGCCUGAUGCAGCGAUGCCGCGUGAGGGAAGAAGGUUUUCGGAUUGUAAACCUCUGUCAACAGGGACGAAAAUGACGGUACCUGUGAAGGAAGCUCCGGCUAACUACGUGCCAGCAGCCGCGGUAAUACGGAGGAUGCAAGCGUUAUCCGGAUUUAUUGGGUUUAAAGGGUGCGUAGGCGGACGCGUAAGUCAGCGGUGAAAUAUCCCGGCUCAACCGGGAGGCUGCCGUUGAUACUGCGCGACUAGAGUCCGAACGGCGCCGGCGGAAUAUGUAAUGUAGCGGUGAAAUGCAUAGAUAUUACAUAGAACACCGAUCGCGAAGGCAGCUGGCGAGGACGGCACUGACGCUGAGGCACGAAGGCGUGGGGAUCAAACAGGAUUAGAUACCCUGGUA